rnacentral:misc_RNA from 1 species
UCUAAGACAAGCGCUGCCUCAGCGCCCACCCUCUAUCGGCUGUUCCUCACACGAACAGCACAUCAUUUAAGCGACCCAGGCGGGUCUGUAGCUCAGUUGGUUAGAGCACCGUCUUGAUAAGGCGGGGGUCGAUGGUUCGAAUCCAUCCAGACCCACCAACUGACUCGAGCACCAGGCGGGGCCAUAGCUCAGCUGGGAGAGCGCCUGCUUUGCAAGCAGGAGGUCAUCGGUUCGAUCCCGAUUGGCUCCACCAGCAACUGGCUAGAUACACACGAGGCUGCAGCGACGAACGCCACGAGCUGGCGUUCAUCGGUGCGUCUUCACGAGCACUUCGGCUGUUCUUUAACAAUCUGGAAUGAAGGUAAAAGUUAGUUCUCUUCGCGAGGGCGUGGCGGGGUAUCGCGCGUCGCGAGCGGGGAGGGCGAACUGGGUUAUGUAUUGCAUCGUGUUGCCGCGGCUAACCACUGCGGUGACGCACAAGCGCGAGAGUUGCCUGUAAUCGAGUGAUGGUGUGAGCGACUUUGGUUCACAUCGCCCUUAAGCAUCAUCGGGGGCAGCAAGGGUAUAGGGUCAAGCGAAUAAGUGCAUGUGGUGGAUGGCUUUGGCAUGAUAGGCGAUGAAGGACGUGACAGCCUGCGAAAAGCUGCGGGGAGCCGGCAAAUGGGCGCUGAUCCGCAGAUAU